AGAGUUUGAUUCUGGCUCAGAAUCAACGCUGGCGGCGUGCCUAACACAUGCAAGUCGAACGCGAAAGGGGCUUCGGCCCUGAGUAGAGUGGCGAACGGGUGAGUAACGCGUGGGUGACCUACCCUCGAGUGGGGGAUAACGUUCCGAAAGGGACGCUAAUACCGCAUGACAUUCCGGGUUCGAAGACCUGGAAAUCAAAGCCGGGGACCGCAAGGCCUGGCGCUCGGGGAGGGGCCCGCGUCUGAUUAGCUAGUUGGCGGGGUAAUGGCCCACCAAGGCGACGAUCAGUAGCCGGCCUGAGAGGGCGGACGGCCACACUGGGACUGAGACACGGCCCAGACUCCUACGGGAGGCAGCAGUGGGGAAUUGUUCGCAAUGGGCGCAAGCCUGACGACGCAACGCCGCGUGGAGGAUGAAGGUCUUCGGAUCGUAAACUCCUGUUGAUCGGGACGAAAAGCUUCGACCUAACACGUCGGAGACUGACGGUACCGGUUGAGGAAGCCACGGCUAACUCUGUGCCAGCAGCCGCGGUAAUACAGAGGUGGCAAGCGUUGUUCGGAAUUACUGGGCGUAAAGGGCGCGUAAGCGGCCUUCUAAGUCGGACGUGAAACCCCCAGCUUACCUGGGAACUGCGUCCGAUACUGGGAGGCUUGGAUUCCGGAGAGGGAUGUGGAAUUCCAGUGUAGCGGUGAAAUGCGUAGAU
rnacentral:rRNA from 1 species